CAGGGAGACAACAAAAUGUUUAAUAUUAUUAUUUUGUCACCUUAGGUCGAUCGGUAUCUCACGUUUUUAAUUUAUUAAGAAUUUCAUUUCCUAAGUUUUUCUAGGUCACACCCAUUAUUUUUCCUGGGCCAUUAGCUCAGGUGGUUAGAGCGCACCCCUGAUAAGGGUGAGGUCCCUGGUUCAAGUCCAGGAUGGCCCAUAUCUCUAUGUUGGGGGUAUAGCUCAGUUGGUAGAGCGCCUGCUUUGCAAGCAGGAUGUCAGCGGUUCGAGUCCGCUUACCUCCACUGAUUACCACCUCUUCCAUAAACGGUAGAAAGGAAAUGUUUUGAGUUGUGAUCAAAUUCUGAAAGAAUCUAGCUUCCUAAUGAAAUCAUUAAGAUGCUGGAUUCAUUGAAUUAAUUUCAUUGUUUUCAGAGAACCUUGACAACUGCAUAGAUUAUUUUUAAAGACAAAAAGCAUCUUUAAUGAUGCAGAUUUAUUAUUUGUGCGAAUGCAUUAAUAACAAUUCUAUUAAGCUGAUGCUUCAAUUUUUGAAGUUAUU
rnacentral:tRNA from 1 species